rnacentral:rRNA from 1 species
ACACGUAAGGGGCAAGCGUUGUUCGGAAUCAUUGGGCGUAAAGGGUGCGCAGGCGGUUAGCCAAGCCUGAUGUUAAAGACCCCGGCUUAACUGGGGGAGUGCAUUGGGAACUGGCUGACUAGAGUAUAAGAGGGGGAGUUGGAAUUCCAGGUGUAGGGGUGAAAUCUGUAGAUAUCUGGAAGAACACCAAUGGCGAAGGCAAACUCCUGGCUAUAUACUGACGCUGAGGCACGAAAGCGUGGGGAGCGAACAGGAUUAGAUACCCUGGUAGUCCACGCCGUAAACGAUGUACACUAGGAGAUGGGUGGUUGCAUUCAUUUCCGAAGCUAACGCAUUAAGUGUACCGCCUGGGGAGUAUGCUCGCAAGGGUGAA